AGAAAACACAUCUCUUUCCACAAGAAGGGAAGGCUCAGCCCCCGGGCCAGAGGGGGACUCAGCGGGUUCAUCUCCAAGGUAAACAAACACCAAGCAGGAGGAGUAAAAAAAAAAAAUAAUGUAUGGACUAAGUUGCCUGGAGCAUUCUUAUCAUUACAAUAACACUGUUUCCCAUGGUUAGAAAUCCAUGGGCCAAGCUGCGCUGUUCUGCUUAAAUGAAAUUUAUAUCAGGGUGGAGAUGCAGGGAAAUGCAUUAAGGGGAAGUAAGACAGCCAGAUUUAACAUGUCGUAAAUUACACACGCACACUCCUCGUGCUCAGCUUGCUUUGAUUAGCGUCCCCGGCAAAUCCGUUAUGUUUCCCAGCGGUGGCAGAAUGCAAGAGCAGUUAUUGCAUUGACAGGAUAUCGCUCCCAGUGUGUUGGGGAAACACUUUGUUAAGCUUGACCUCUCUUUAGUCACUAAUACACGAUGACAGGAAAUUAGAUUCCCCCAGAAAAGAAAAAAAACAACAUGUAAUUCAGAGUUAAAUCACAGUAAAUAUGUCAGUAACUGAAAGUAUUCGGUGUUUUUAGGUCAGGUUCUUUUAAUUAAGAGUUUUAUUGACUUUCCUUUGUAGAACAGCAGCCAGAACCGGGCCGUGGCGGGUGUUUUCCGAGAAUGAUAGCUGACUCUGAAAUGCUACCCCGGCUCAUUGAGAUGCACCAAUCACGCUGACUUCUUCCUGGCUCUGUUUCCCGACCGCAGCGUG